UACGUAGGGGGGCAAGCGUUGUCCGGAUUUAUUGGGCGUAAAGAGCGUGUAGGCGGUUCGGUAGGUCCGUUGUGAAAACUCGAGCUCAACCUCGAGACGCCGAUGGAAACCCCCGAACUAGAGUCCGGAAGAGGAGAGUGGAAUUCCUGGUGUAGCGGUGAAAUGCGCAGAUAUCAGGAAGAACACCCGUGGCUAAGGCGGCUCUCUAGUACGGUACUGACGCUGAGACGCGAAAGCGUGGGAGCGAACAGG
rnacentral:rRNA from 1 species